CUACGGGGUGCAGCAGUGAGGAAUAUUGCACAAUGGGGGGAACCCUGAUGCAGCAACGCCGCGUGGAGGAUGACGCAUUUCGGUGUGUAAACUCCUUUUAUAUGUCAAGAAGAUGACGGUAGCAUAUGAAUAAGCACCGGCUAACUCCGUGCCAGCAGCCGCGGUGAAUACGGAGGGUGCAAGCGUUACUCGGAAUCACUGGGCGUAAAGGACGCGUAGGCGGGUUGGAAAGUCAGGUGUGAAAUCCUACAGCUUAACUGUAGAACUGCACUUGAAACUUCUAAUCUAGAGUAUGGGAGGGGGAGAUGGAAUUAGUGGUGUAGGGGUAAAAUCCGUAGAUAUCACUAGGAAUACCUAAAGCGAAGGCGAUCUCCUGGAACAUUACUGACGCUAAGGCGUGAAAGCGUGGGGAGCAAACAGGAUUAGAUACCCUGGUAGUC
rnacentral:rRNA from 1 species